rnacentral:lncRNA from 1 species
UCCUCCUCACUAGGACCUCACAGCCUCCUCCUUCUCACUGGGACCUCACAGUCUCCUCCUCACUGGAACCUCACAGUCUCCUCCUCCUCACCCACUGGGACCUCACAGCCUCCUCCUCACUGGAACCUCACAGCCUGUUGCAUACUUGUGAGGAGAAAAUGGUAGCAAAUCCAGUUGCUAGGAAACAGCUGACGACUAAAAUGGUGUUGUGAGGGUCUUGUACAUCCGGUUCUUUGACAGUUCUGCUCUCAGAGAACAAAAAUUUACUCAGCCACUACAGAGAGAGCCCUAUCACCUGUCGGUUUUUCAGUUGGAAAGUUUUUGCACAGGGGGAGCUAGUAAUAUGAAGUGUUACAGGAGUAAUUAAGCAUUAGGGUAUAAUUUUUAACAGUGACUGGACAUUGAAAAAUGAUUAUGUACCUGUAUGGCUUUGAGUUUCAGUUUUCUGACUCAUCCUUUAUGAGAGAGAGGAGGAGCUAGAAGCCAGCACAUUUGGCGCAUUAGAAUUAGCAUAGAGAGAAACCCUGUUAUUUAAACCAACUUGGUUUUACAGAGGUAGGUCAGCCAGUGUAGUAGAUUCUUCCAUGGAUUUCAUUGCCUAAUCUGUGCCAGAGAAAAAAUACUGAAAAGCACUAUUUGGCUUUCUUUUGUAACUGUUUGUUGUUUAUUUUUGUCAUAACUGUAAUUUUAUGUUUUUGAACCCAACGUCCUGUGCAUACAAGGAAAAUGCCCUGCUUUUGGCUUUCCCCUAGCUCCUAGCAAAAAGAUGGUCAUUUAGUAUCAAGGCAGUACCCACUGGUAAGCAUGCACCGAGUCAGGCGAACGGCUACUGCGGAGACAAGUAUGACUAGAUAUCCCAACAGGGCAGUUGGGGAGCGAGGUGGGCAGCGGCAUGUUGUGGUCAGUGUAAAAAGAGGGGUUUGGGAAGUACAGAGACAGCAGACAGUGAUGAGCUUGGUUUUCCAACUAAGUGCUUCAAAGAUGUCACCUUUGGCUUGAGUUUGGCAAGGCUCUUUCUGAGAUGCUAGGAGCAUCUUGACCUUGUCUCCUUUGGAGGGCAGGGGAGUGGAGGAUAAAAUGGCUGCUGCUUCCCCUUCUAACUUCUCUCCGGGUCCCUACCCUGGGCUGGUUAGUCCUCCUGCUCCAUUCAUCAGCUGAGCACUGUUCACGCCCAGGACUGUAAUUCUGCGUGUUCAGCUUCACUGCUUGUCCGCUUAAUUGCAUGCAUGAAUGUAGGGGGUACAGAAUCUAGCUUCUGAAUUAUACAAGUUGAAGGUUUGUGUCUCAGAAAUAAAAUUCCUUGGAAGCUUUUUCCCUUAUUUAAAUAACCCUGUGAGGUUAGGUUGGCCGUUUUAAAAGUUAUAGUGGUUCAGAAAAUAUUUCUUCUAAUGUAUCCCAGUAAUUUGUAAAUUCAAAGUAACAGUCAAAACAAAAGGAAAGUUAUGAGCAGUUGCUACUAUAGCAUCCUGGGGAGGUGGGACUGAGGGCACAGUACAGCUUGACUUCCCUUAAAACUCACAGCGUCAGAGUUUUUGUUUCCUUUCUACGUUUUAUUUUUAUUUAUUUAUUUGAGUGAUUAAAAUGUUUGAAUGAAUGGGCAUUUUGACUGCAUGUGUGUCUGUGUAUCUCGUGGCUGAGGAGGCCAGAAGAGGGUUUUGGAUCCCCUGGUAGUGAGGUGCCAUUUGGGUUCUAGAAACUGGAUCUCAGUUCCUUGCAAGGGCAGAAAGUGUUCUUAACCACAGGAGCCAUCUCUAUGGGCUCACAGGGCUAUAAAAUAUGGCCCCGUGUCUGUAUUUUAAAAUGGGAGCUUACCUGUAUUACAUUGAAUUGCCUCAUUUUCCCUCUGCUCUUUCCCCCUCCAGCCACCCCAAGGUGACAGCCCCCUUUUCUUUGCUUAUUAUUUUAUUAUUGGGGUGUGUGUGUGUAUUGUUUGUAGAGCUAUGAUUUCAAGGCUGAUCACUCUGCAUUGGACAGUCAGUAAGAGGGCUUGUCCCAGGAGAGGCUGAUUCUCCAUCUGUGGCAGUCAUCUGUUGUCUGUAGUUCUUUGUCUCAGGGUGGGACAUUUCCCCUCUUUCAUAUUAACGUGUCCCUUGACUUGGCCCUUGUUUGAGGCUUGUUUGUACAGCAGUUUCUAGAGGAGACUAUUUCACAGGCACUUCCUGGUAAUAUAGCUCUUACAGUCUUCCACUCCUUCUUCCAUGAUGUUUCUUGAGCCAUAGAUGCAGGAGCUGUGAUGUAGAUCUUAUGUUGGCCUGGGCUCCCCACAAUCUGUUGAACUCUGCAUUGUCCCUGUUUGCUAUAAAGAGAGAUUUCUCUGAUGAGGGGUGGUAGCUACACUUACCUGGAAAUGUAGCUUAUGUGCAAGAGAAUUUGCGGGCUGUGGGUGGGGAGCUAAGUCUGUGGGUCUGAUUAUUCCUGUUCUUAAUGGUAGGACUGGGAUCUAUUUGGUCUUUCAGUAUUAAUUAUGGUGUUAGCUACCUGUUUUUCAAGAUCUUUUUUCCUCAGAAUUAAGAAAACUGCUAUUUCUAGUUUCUGAGUUGCCUUGGGUGGCGGGUUAUGUAUGCAUAUUGAAUUUUGUCUUUGGUAUUUGUUUACUUAUUGAAAUGACAAUGUGGUUAAACAAAAUUUCAUUUAUUAAUGUACUGAUUAGACUGAUUUAAAAGUAUUAAACCAAUUUCGCAUUCAUGGCAUAAAUUUACCCUGUCAAACUUGUUGCUAAAUGUUUUAUUCAUUUGCCACAAAGGAUAUUGGUUUAGAGUUUUGUUGUACUAUAAUAUCCGCCUGAUGUUGAUGCCCAGUUAGUGCCAUCCUCACGAAAUGAUUUGAUAGUUUUCCUCUCUAUUCAUUUUAUAUGACAUUGUAGUAAAAAAAAAUACAGUUUAAUUAUUUUAAGAAUGAAAUUAUUUAAGUUGUCAACUUUUCUUCUUUUCUCUACAAAAUAGAUCUUAACCAGUAUUGUAUUAUAAACUGACUUUAUACCGUAUAAUUAAAAUAAAUAUUUUUAAUAUUGAGGUAUUUUUUGGAGAAACUGAUUAAAAUGUUUUAUACUGAUUUUAAGAUUGUAAACCACCCCGC